AAUGAAACGAAACUGUUUGUGGAAUCCCUUUAACACCAAGCUCCUUGUUCUCCAUGCAAAUGGCAUGUGCUCGGUUUGCCUACAGGACCUGCAGGAACACAGCUGGCCUCAGAGUCAACACGAUACCUGAUGUGGGACAGAUCUGGAAGAAUCCAGGGCUCCAGAUGCAGAUCCAGAUGAAUCCACCACUAAAAACCGGGUCUGGGAUGCUACAGAACAAGCAGAGGAACUGCUUAUUGUGGCCCAAGAACAGUCAACAGGUUAUGACUUCUGAAAUGCCUCAAGUGAUCCAGUGAUUCCCAGAGGAAGCCGAGAGUCCGAGCUCGAGAGACUGAGCUGAAGGAAAUCCAAAAGGCAUAAUGUGGCCUCAAGGUAAGAUUAAAAAGUGGAAUAAUUUUCCAAACACUUUCUCCAAUCCCAGAUUAAUAGACAUAAGGUAUAAGAAGAUGACAGGAUCUUUACCAAACUGCUCAGUGUUCACUGUUUGGUGAACAAAUCGGUUGUUGCCUUCAAACCAAUUGUAUUCCAAAGUUUGGCACACUCUUGUCACACCAAUGUUUAACCUAAAAAGAAUUGCCAUACAUCCAAAACCAAAAAGUACAGACUGUUUCACUGAUGAACCUUGCAGAGAAAACCAGUCACUGAAAUGCCGUGAGAACUGGUGGAUUUUAACAUCUGUAAACUUUACGGUAAAAGAAAGCGGUAGCUGAGGUUGCCGGAA